GACGAACGCUGGCGGCGUGCUUAACACAUGCAAGUCGAACGGAAAGGCCCUGCUUUUGUGGGGUGCUCGAGUGGCGAACGGGUGAGUAACACGUGAGUAACCUGCCCUUGACUUUGGGAUAACUUCAGGAAACUGGGGCUAAUACCGGAUAGGAGCUCCUGCUGCAUGGUGGGGGUUGGAAAGUUUCGGCGGUUGGGGAUGGACUCGCGGCUUAUCAGCUUGUUGGUGGGGUAGUGGCUUACCAAGGCUUUGACGGGUAGCCGGCCUGAGAGGGUGACCGGCCACAUUGGGACUGAGAUACGGCCCAGACGCCUACGGGAGGCAGCAGUGGGGAAUAUUGCACAAUGGGCGGAAGCCUGAUGCAGCAACGCCCCGUGCGGGAUGACGGCCUUCGGGUUGUAAACCGCUUUCGCCUGUGACGAAGCGUGAGUGACGGUAAUGGGUAAAGAAGCACCGGCUAACUACGUG
rnacentral:rRNA from 1 species